AUGUUCGUGCUACCACUUCUGCUCCAAAAAAGGCUUGGUGAUGACCCUCGAGCUCACAGUCUGUUACUUAGUGAAGAUAAUGAAAAGCUUAAAUUCAAUUUGGAAACUAUACAUCCCUCAAGCACUUCAUAUGGUGGUGCAUACACUACCGCACUUCCUCUCGGUGAUUCCAUGGAAGUCUUUGGUGAUGAGUCAUGUUACACAUCUGAGCUUGUUACAGGAACUACCAAGUAG
rnacentral:rRNA from 1 species